rnacentral:rRNA from 1 species
CAAUAGCGUAUACUAAAGUUGUUGCAGUUAAAAAGCUYGUAGUUGAACCUGUGGUUUGACCAGUGCGGACAAGCAAUAUGUUUUGUCUCGCACUGGCCGGAUCAUCUUUGAGUGGAAUUGGCAGAGCAUUAAGUUGUUCUGCCAACGAGACUCAUCUUUUACUGUGAAAAAAUUAGAGUGUUCAAAGCAGGCUUAUGCCGUUGAAUAGAUUAGCAUGGAAUAAUGAGACAAGGCUUUWAUGCUAUUUUGUUGGUUUGUGCMWGAAAGUAAUGAUUAUAGGGACAGUUGGGGGUAUUCGUAUUCCAUUGUMARRRVVGAAAYUCYWSGAUUUCUGGAAGACGAACAACUGCGAAAGCAUUUACCAAGGAUGUUUUCAKUWAUCAAGAACGAAAGUUAGGGGAUCGAAGAUGAUUAGAUACCAUCGUAGUCUUAACCAUAAACUAUGCCAGUUAGGGAUUGGCAGAGCAUCGUUAYGUCUCUGUCAGCACCUUAUGAGAAAUCAUUAAACUUUUGGGUUCCGGGGGGAGUAUGGUCGCAAGGCUGAAACUUAAAGAAAUUGACGGAAGGGCACCACCAGGAGUGGAGCCUGCGGCUUAAUUUGACUCAACACGGGA